UUGGUGGCUCCUGAUCGGGUCGGGUCGGGACUAACGCCAUCCUGAACCUGAAUAGGGGCAAGCAAAGAAUUUGAUUUUUUUGAGCUCCCUUGCCGGCUGCAGCAGUUUAUUUUGCCCGUAAUUCUGCGCGCGAAGAUCCGAACGAAGACGACGGAGUCAAACAGCUGUGAGAACUGCUGAAAAAGGAUGGACGCACGUGUCACGAAUAAAAGGUCCAGUGAAGGAGUGGAAAAUGACAUCUGAGCCAGGAGAAACUAAACUAACCAUCAAACGAACUUGAAGAGGCCUUACAAUUGACUGGUAGGGGUAUAUGUGUAUCCUUACAGACUCCAGACCCAAGUGAAUCCCAGCUCGUUGGCUGAGGCCGUGGGAGGAACCAUUGUUGUAUGGGAGGAGUACCCCAACUGACGACGCGGGACAGCAGAACCCCGAGUCGAGCUAGUACUCAGCUUUGUCCAAUUUGUCGCCGGUGCAGUUUGUAUCUUAUUUGUCAUUGUUAUUACUGUGGGAAAUAUAUAAUCCAUUAUAACGGA